rnacentral:rRNA from 1 species
CCCUUAGAUGUUCUGGGCCGCACGCGCGCUACACUGACUGGUUCAUCGAGUAUACAACCUUGACUGAUAGGUCUGGGUAAUCUUCUCAAAGCCAGUCGUGCUGGGGAUAGAUUAUUGUAAUUUUUAAUCUUCAACGAGGAAUUCCUAGUAAACGCGAGUCAUCAACUCGCAUUGAUUACGUCCCUGCCCUUUGUACACACCGCCCGUCGCUCCUACCGAUUGAGUGGUCCGGUGAGGCUUUGGGAUCUGAGCGGAAAGAGCGUUUCGCUGUUUCUGCUCGGAAAACUCAGUCGAACCUUAUCAUUUAGAGGAAGGAGAAGUCGUAACA